CAAGGGUUGAGCAUCAGUACCUACACUUACGUACACAUACAUCAUCAACUCCAAAGUGUAAGAUAGAGACAACGGCAAUGGCAACGAAGUUAGUUUCUACUUUGGCCAUCUUUUUCAUCCUCGUUCUCGUCAUCUCUUAAACGCGUGGGACAGAAGCCCAUGGUGACGCGUGCCUGAAAGAAUACGAUGGCGAAGAUGGUUUCGCCUUGUGCGCGCCUCUGAUAUAUCCGCCGUUUUGUUAUACAAGGUGCAGAUCGGACAAGGGUGCUAAAAGUGGUAGAUGUGUCCGGGGAGCCACAGAUCUCAUGCCUAUAUGCUUAUGCGACUACUGUGGCGGAGAACUUCCCGGACCGUUUAUAAGACAAGUUUGAAUCUUGCAAGUGUCAUAUGGUUUGCUUUUGAAUCAAGGGCUAGCAACCAUAUUGCCAGAAGAACUGAAAUAAUGUUGGUUGGUCGCAUGUAUGCAAAACCAUGUCGGAUCCAAAACCAAGCACCACUUCUAUCAUGAUCCAAAUUAGAAGAAGAGAUGGCAUCCUCUCGAGUGCCAUUAACUUCAAGCAUUAUGUUUUGGCAUGUACCCUGCAUAUUAAUAAAUUCCUCAUUUUCAUAUCAUCAUCAUCCACUGUAUUUUAGAUCCUCCAUAUAAGCAUCACCAAAGUCGUCCGAUUAAGCUCAUAUAUAUAAGCAUCCGACGACCUCCAUCACCAAAGUCCGAUCAAGCUCAUAUAAGCAUCAACAAAGUCCAAUCGAGCUCAUACACCUCCAACCAACUACAAAAGAAUGUUGUGAAGACCAACAUGUAAGAACUGCCGACGUUAAAGUUUUUUUUGAUUUCGAUUUCUAUAGAGAGGGUUUUGAAUUUGUUAUGUGUUGUAUUGAAGAUUAGCAUACUCCUUUAGGACACAAAGGAGAAACUAGUUUUCAAUAAGUACACGUUGUGGCCACAACCGCACACGCAAAAGCUGCUACUCUGUAUUAAAAACUCGUAUGUGUCAUGGUUUGUGUAAAAAUAAAGGUUAAUGGUCCACUAAUUAAUAAU